rnacentral:tRNA from 1 species
GUGCUGAUAGCUCCAAUGGAUAGAGCGUUGGACUCCGGAUCCAAAGGAUGCGGGUUCGAUCCCCGCUCAGCACACCA